UACGUAGGUGGCGAGCGUUGUCCGGAUUUACUGGGCGUAAAGAGCGCGCAGGCGGUCGUUCAAGUCGCGUGUGAAAGCCCCCGGCUCAACUGGGGAGGGUCACGCGAUACUGAUCGACUCGAAGGCAGGAGAGGGUAGUGGAAUUCCCGGUGUAGCGGUGAAAUGCGUAGAGAUCGGAAAGAACACCAACGGCGAAAGCACUCUGCUGGGCCGACACUGACACUGAGAGACGAAAGCUAGGGGAGCGAAUGGG
rnacentral:rRNA from 1 species